CCUACGGGGGGCAGCAGUGGGGGAUAUUGCACAAUGGGGGAAACCCUGAUGCAGCGACGCCGCGUGGGUGAAGGAGGGCUUCGGCGUGUAAAGCCCUAUCGGCAGGGAAGAAGAUGACGGUACCUGAGGAAGAAGCCACGGCUAACUACGUGCCAGCAGCCGCGGUAAUACGUAGGGGGCCAGCGUUAUCCGGAUUUACUGGGUGUAAAGGGGGCGUAGGCGGCAGUGGAAGUGAGGUGUGAAAGCCCGGGGCCCAACCCCGGGACUGCAUUUGAAACUGCAUGGCUGGAGUGCAGGAGAGGCAGGCGGAAUUCCUAGUGUAGCGGUGAAAUGCGUAGAGAUUAGGAAGAACACCGGUGGCGAAGGCGGCCUGCUGGACUGUAACUGACGUUGAGGCCCGAAGGCGUGGGGAGCAAACAGGAUUAGAUACCCUUGUAGUC
rnacentral:rRNA from 1 species